rnacentral:misc_RNA from 1 species
AACUGAACUCACAACCUUUAAGCACAAAUUAAACAGCACACUGAAAUGACUACACAAAAAGAAUGAAUAACAACCUAUUCAGCAAUGUCUGAUGUAAAUUACACUUCCAAGACUUUGAAUUGCCAAAAAGAAAAGGUACAAAAAUUGAAAGAGGCCAACUAUAAGGACUGGGCUCUCAUUUGAAAGUGGAGAGCCUUGGGAGCUUAUCGCGCAAAUAGUACAAUCUUGCACGCCUGACUUUUCGGUGCUUAACUACUUUGAGCUCCUUGAUAUUUGGUGAAUACACUGGGAACACUAUUUCAACUCCAACGCCAGCAAUAAUCCUCCGAAUGCGAAUUGUCGUGUGGAUACCAGCAUUUUGUUUUGAAAUGACUAUACCUUUGUAAAUAGACAAUCUCUUCCUAUUUUCUGGGACUUCCAAUUUGAUCUCAACAACAUCACCAGUCCUAAUGUCUGGUGUAGGCCUCACAGUAUCCGAUGCCUCGAUUGCUUGCUUGUUCAAUAUCCCCAUUAUAUCUCCAAGCUUAGCUCUCGGCUUAAAUGGUGGUCUUUCCUCUGUUGCAACUGCAGCAUCAGCUUCAGCUUCAACCUCUGCCUCAGCAGCUUCCGGUUCCUCUUGAGAUUCAGCUUCAGCUCUAACAAUAAAAGAACGAUUUUCCCACUUUGAACUUAACAACCCAGAAGCAGAAAACAAGGGAACAUUAAACUGAGAAGGUCUUCGAGAGACGCAGGCAGAAAAUGCCAGCUUCUGUGGAGCAGUACAUCUUGUGGGGUUUCUCGGAACCACAAAUAAAGCCUGAGGCAGAACAACAGAACCCAUUUUGGGUAUGA